UGCGGAGGAAAAGAAACCAACAGGGAUUGCCUCAGUAACGGCGAGUGAAGCGGCAACAGCUCAAAUUUGAAAUCUGGCUCUUUCAGGGUCCGAGUUGUAAUUUGUAGAAGAUGCUUUGGGUGUAGCUCCGGUCUAAGUUCCUUGGAACAGGACGUCAUAGAGGGUGAGAAUCCCGUAUGUGACUGGGUGCUUUCGCUCGUGUAAAGCUCUUUCGACGAGUCGAGUUGUUUGGGAAUGCAGCUCAAAAUGGGUGGUAAAUUUCAUCUAAAGCUAAAUAUUGGCCAGAGACCGAUAGCGCACAAGUAGAGUGAUCGAAAGAUGAAAAGCACUUUGGAAAGAGAGUUAAACAGUACGUGAAAUUGUUGAAAGGGAAGCGCUUGCAACCAGACUUGCGCGCUGUUGAUCAUCCGAGCUUCUGCCCGGUGCACUCGACAGCGUUCAGGCCAGCAUCGGUUUUGGUGGGCGGAUAAAGGCCUUGGGAAUGUAGCUUCUUUCGGGGAGUGUUAUAGCCCUCGGUGCAAUGCGCCCUACCGGGACCGAGGACCGCGCUCGGCUAGGAUGCUGCGUACUCCU
rnacentral:rRNA from 1 species